UUCCGUACGAGGCAUUGUACGACCAUUCAUGUAGAUGGUCAAUCUGUUGAAAAGAAAUACGUGAUAGAAAAUUGGUCGGCCCAGACCUUGUAAAGAAGACUAUAGCCAAAAUAAUUAAGAUCAGGAAGAACAUUUGGACGGCUUAAAGAAGGCAGAAGAGCUAUGCGGAUACUCAGAGGAGGGAUUUAGAAUUUGAGAAAUAUGAUCGAGUGUUUCUUAAAGUCAUUCUUUUCAA
rnacentral:lncRNA from 1 species